UUCCUUCCCUUUUCUCUGCAUUAAGUACAGAAGCGGAGGAGGGAGUUAGGCCUUCAUCGGCCAAUUACUCCACUUCGCUUGACGCACAUGCUGGGACGGGAAGAUCUAGCAAAGCAGACUGUUCCUGGCAUUUUCCGCAGCUCUCGUGCUUCCGAAGAGUCAGGGCAACAGAAUUGAGAACUCUCUGACAGAGCUGUACUCCCACAGUUCCAAAUCUAUUUGCAACUGCUGAGCAGCUUGGUGCCAAAAUUACUGAAUUUUAAUGAGCCUUCUACCCCAACCGUCAAAGCAAGUUUCUUUUGAAGCUCUUUCAAAUGACUCUUGCUCCAAAUCAACCAGUGAUAGCGGCUUGAUUUUCCCGCCACAGAAGAAAUUCUGUCCUCCCCUGAUGUCAUGAAGAUUCACCAGCCAACGAGGAACCAGAAUUAAACCAGGAUGAUUUCUGGCCUGUCACAAGAGGAUGCUCAGGCUUUGAAUGGCUGUCAAAGAGGAUAAAAUGACUUGCACUGUACUGCUUGGGUGUGUCUGAUUCCUUUUGAGCUGAGACUCUGUAUCAGACAUCCUUUCAGGUUGGAAAGUAAAUAAAUUUCAGUUCCUUUGUCUUCAA